CAUUAAUUAAGUUCUGAUAGCCAGAAUGCAAAGAGCUUCCCUGCAGAAAUACCCAGGAACAAGACUGCCGAGCUACUGGUUUUCCUCCCUAGAUGAACACUGCUCAUCUGGAAAGACACUGUCUGAAAUAAUCAGGAGUCAGUUUGCUCACCUCUCCUCUGGGUGGAGCCCCCUCAAAGACUUGCCCCAAUCAAUCUCCCCCUGAACGCAGGAAUCAGCUUUGCUACUGGUCAGUGUGACCCUGGCCAGUCCUAGUUAAAAUGGAGGCAUAGCUACAUGGUGAAAUUACUAAAUAUUCUUAUAAGAUGGAAACUGUGCUUAAAUAUACCCAAUGGAGUACAUUGCAAUGCAUUUUUUUCUAUUUAUUAAUAAUAGUUUAACUUUUUGCCUUCUCCAAAAACAACUGUACUCCAAUUAAAAAAGAAACAAAAGAAUGCUAUACCAUAAAAUAACAACUGAUUUUUCCAAAUAACGCUAAACUGGCAAGUUUCCUUCUCACUUCUUUGGUGCUCAUGCUUCCCUGGCUCCUAAGUACCUUGGACCCUUGGUCUGGGUCUUGGUUAACCUAAAACCCUUGACACUGACCCUCCGUUAGGCCUUCCUCUCAGGGCUCUGUGAACCCCCAU
rnacentral:lncRNA from 1 species